GUCUCCUGGAUUGUCAGAGAAAUGAUUAUGCUUCUAAGACAUCUGUUCAUCUCAUCAUUUUUGUUUCCUCCUGUGGUUUAUGCAAUUGAGCCCAAUGGAUUCUGAUGACUGUUGCUCCAAGUGAUCUUCGCCCCUGAGACCAUGGUUGUUGUUCAUUUGGAAAUCUCUUCCUUCUUCAGAGAGAGAGGAUUGAGCUGCUGUCAAGAGAAGACAACAGCAACUAAGAAAAACAGGCCAGGCCGGCCAGCAGCAGAAAGGCCCUUCCUCACAGGGAGCAGAGCCAUUUAGCUCCAUCUGAGCUCCCUCCUGCCCAUGAGCAGCCGGAGAGGGGAGGGACACAGAAAACCAUGCACGGAUGGAGCCGAGUGCUGUAUGAAGGGGUGCAGACCCCCCCACUCCUGUCCAGAGUUUGGAGAGGCUGCCGAGGAUGCCUGCAGCUUGGGCGUGAGGGAGGUACGAAGACGGCUCGGGAUGUUGUGAGGAAGGAUGUAGAGGAUGCUGGGUGUGCUAUCAAGAUCUCAUUCAGGACUGAAGGGCUUAUUCCUCCAGCUGCCCAAGGCUGGCGCCCUUCCUGGGAGAGCCUUCAACCAAUGACUCAUCAACUCAAGGCUCAACCUUUUCAACCAACUUGCUACAAUUCAGAAGACCACCCAGCCUCAGAGCUUCCUGUGGGGUCAGCAGAGGCCUACAUUGAGAAUUCACCCAGCCCAGCUUCUCCCUGUCUAUUUUUUCUUCCCUUCCCUUCCACAGAUGUUGACCCCAAGAAU